GCACCCAUAGCUCAAUUGGAUAGAGCACCUGACUACGAAUCAGGAGGUUUCAGGUUCGACUCCUGAUGGCUGCGCCA
rnacentral:tRNA from 1 species